rnacentral:lncRNA from 1 species
UCCUUGACCUCCGUUCAGUAAAUGAAAAUGUGGAGCAGAGCUAUAUCCCCAAAGGAUCAGAAGAGGGACAUGUGGGGUGCACUGGCGGGCCUCCCAGCACACCUGUUUUUCUGCGAUACGAGAGGCUGUGCUGGUGUUAGGAGUGAACCGAAAGAAAUGACUGGUUUGAUGGUAGAGAUGCACCGGAAUGACACACAGGGCUCUGGCUACUGGAAUUCAUCUCAGCUGGGAAGGGUAAGACUGCACAGGGCAGAAGAUACAAUGCUAAAUGCAGAUGAACAGGACUGGAGACCUUUCCUUUGAUCACCUACAUGUUGCAGUUCUGUAAAAGCAUCUCUAUGAGGGUAGGAAGUUGCCACAAGUGGAAGAAAUCUAGACUUGUUUUCACAUUCAAAGAUCCAAAUAUACGGCAUUCCUGUUGCCUGAAAUAUUCUCACAAAAAUGGAUCUGUGCUCCCAGGCUCUUUUAGCCCAGAACACGGAUAAUAAGAUCCUUUUAAAAGUAUUAAAGUAAUUUCUCCAUUUUAUUUUAAGAUUUGUUUUUCUUUUAGUAACUUAGGACUCUGCUCUUGCAUUGAUGUGCUCCACUAUUUCCAUCCUGAUAUUGAGAUCUGCCUUUCAAGUAUGCAAAGACAAAAGUGUUUUCAAGCGGCUGUUGUAGCAAAAUGAAUUUAGAUCAAGUGUUUAGCUGAAAUGGGAUGAACAGCCAACUAUGCAUUUUAAGGGAAACUGGAAAAGCUGGGACUGGGGAAGAAAUGCUGUUGCUAACUAGGAAAAUAGAUGAGCAGUGUGGAAUAACAGAAAGGAUGUGUUGAAACAGAGCUAGCAGAUACAGUUUUAAAACAAUGUUUCAUACCAUUUUAGAUGUGGGAAACUAAGGAGAGGAAACCAAAUGAUUAAUUAUUGGGGAAUGCCUCCUGUGAACCUGACCCAGAUCUUUCACUGUGCCAAGUGCACUAUGUUGGGUUGGGAGUUCCUUCUGUUGCUGCGGGGACUCCUCACCCGCCUCUCCUAAAUUGUUUUCCAAUCCCUAAGUAAUUUUUUAUAUCUGUAGUAUGUGGUGAAAUAUUCUCCUACACUUUUGCCUGAUGUUUUGAAGAGUAUAACCAGAAGGUCUGUUAUUUCUUGGGUUUGCAAUCGCUCUGGCAGAGGAAACCAAUAUUUGCACUCCCAAGGUGGGCAUGGGCCAGUGAAAGCAAGUGGUGUAUGAGCAGUUGUUGUGAGAAGUGACUCCCUGUAAGUGAAUCCAUUAAUCUUUCACAUCUCUGAACACGUACCAAAUGCUGCUGAGUGUAGCAGUUGGC